AUACCGGGCCUUUUUGGGCUUGGCAAUUGGAAUGAGGGAGAGUUAAACGGACCAUCGAGUAUCCAUUGGAGGGCAAGUCUGGUGCCAGCAGCUGCGGUAAUACCAGCUCCAAUAGCGUAUAUUAAAGUUGUUGCAGUUAAAAAGCUCGUAGUUGGACUUGUGUGCGCUGUCCGCGGGUGGCCUGCGCCCAAAAGGGCGUUUCGGUUCGGCCCCGGUGGCGCCUUGAAAUCUGCAGCUGGGGGGACGUUGGCCUUAACUGGUCGGCGACCGCACGCCGGCUGCUCGGUUACUGUGAGAAAAUUAGAGUGUUCAAGGCAGGCAUUGGGUGCAAUUGAAUACAUUAGCAUGGAAUAAUAAAAUAUGGCUCCUGCCGUAUUUUGUUGGUUUUGACUGGUGGGAGUAAUGAUUGAUAGGGACGGUUGGGGGUGCUAGUAUUGAGCGGCCAGAGGUGAAAUUCAUGGAUUCGCUCAAGACUAACUUAUGCGAAAGCAUUCACCAAGGACGUCCUCUUUAAUCAAGAACGAAAGUUCGGGGAUCGAAGACGAUCAGAUACCGUCGUAGUCUCAACCAUAAACUAUGUCGACUUGGGAUCGGCGGUAGUUUUUUCAUUAAGACACUGUCGGGACCACGGGAGAAAUCAAAGUGUCUGGACUCUGGGGGAAGUAUGGUCGCAAGGCUGAAACUUGAAGGAAUUGACGGAAGGGCACCACCAGGAGUGGAGCCUGCGGCUUAAUUUGACCCAACACACGGAAACUUACCAGGUCCAGAGAUGUAGAGGAUUGACAGAUUGAAGCUCUUUCUUGAUCACUUCGGUGGUGGUGCAUGGCCGUUCUUAGUUGGUGGAGUGAUUUGUCUGGUUAAUUCCGUUAACGAACGAGACCUCAGCCUGCUAGUGUAGUCGGCUGGAUUGCCUUUGGCGAUCCGUGAUUUCGACUUCUUAGAGGGACAAUCGACGCGCAGUCGAUGGAAGUUUGAGGCAAUAACAGGUCUGUGAUGCCCUUAGAUGUUCUGGGCCGCACGCGCGCUACACUGCUGGGCUCAGCGAGUUUUACUUGGCCGAGAGGCCCGGUUAAUCUUGUGAAAUCCCAGCGUGCUUGGGCUCGCCUCCUGCAACUGGAGGCGCCAACGAGGAAUUCCUAGUAGACGCAGGUCAUCAACCUGCAUCGAUUACGCCCCUGCCCUUUGUACACACCGCCCGUCGUUCCAUAAGAGUGAGGCAUCCGGUGAAUUCUCGGGAGAGCCUGGGCGUGGCCAGCAAUGGUCUGCUCGGGUUUGAACUUGCAUAAACUUGGUGCCUAUGAUUAGGG
rnacentral:rRNA from 1 species